AUUGAACGCUGGCGGCAUGCCUUACACAUGCAAGUCGAACGGCAGCACGGGUGCUUGCACCUGGUGGCGAGUGGCGAACGGGUGAGUAAUACAUCGGAACGUACCUUAUCGUGGGGGAUAACGCAGCGAAAGCUGUGCUAAUACCGCAUACGCCCUGAGGGGGAAAGCGGGGGAUCGCAAGACCUCGCGCGAUUAGAGCGGCCGAUGCCUGAUUAGCUUGUUGGUGGGGUAAAAGCCCACCAAGGCGACGACCAGUAGCUGGUCUGAGAGGACGAUCAGCCACACGGGGACUGAGACAAGGCCCAGAAUCCUACGGGAGGCAGCAGUGGGGAAUUUUGGACAAUGGGGGCAACCCUGAUCCAGCAAUGCCGCGUGAGUGAAGAAGGCCUUCGGGUUGUAAAGCUCUUUUGUCAGGGAAGAAACACCGGCUCUAACACAGUCCGGGAAUGACGGUACCUGAAGAAUAAGCACCGGCUAACUACGUGCCAGCCGCCGCCGUAA
rnacentral:rRNA from 1 species